CUCACAUGCUGGAAGGGAUGAACCUGUUCUCCGGGAUCUCUUUCAGAUGGGCACUAGUCCCAAUCAUGAGGGCUUUGCUCUCAUGACCUAAUCACUUCCCAGAGGCCCUACCUGCUAAUACUAUCACAUUGGGGACUAAGAUUUCAAUAUAUGAAUUUUGUGGGGACACAAACAUUCAGCACAGCAACAGACAGAGAGAAGAUGACCAUGUGAUGAAGAAGGCAGAGAUUGGAGUGAUACAUCUACAAACUAAGGGUCUUGGUUGGAAUUAAAAGAAGGAAUUAAAAGUGCUGUAAAU
rnacentral:lncRNA from 1 species